GUGCUUACUUCAGCAGCAUAUAUACUAAAAUUGGAACAAUACAGAGAAGAUUAGCACAGCCCCUGUGCAAGGACGACAUGCAAAUUCAUGAAGUGUUUCAUAUUUUA